AUGCUCGCGCCAGUGCUAGGCGCCGUUGGAUGUGGACGCGGAGGCUCGGGACUUGCACGCCCUACUCUACCCUACUCCUUCCAAUCCGGCCCCGAAGUGCUCGAGGAGGCGCUCGAGGUCGGCAUGCUCACCGGCGACGCUGGGUCCCUCCAUCCUCCUGGUUCCCUCGCUGUCGCCAACAUGAGCCUCUCCACCCUCUCCCGCGCGAUCGUCCAGGUCCAGCCCCUUCUGGUUGUGAGUGGAUCCAAGAGUUCACAUGAUGCAGUAUCUUUUUGA
rnacentral:rRNA from 1 species